UUAACCUAAUAUUUCUUCAUCUUAAAACACCAAACUCAGCCGCCACUUUUCCUCAACAUCCUGAAAUUAUCAUCCCUUCCGUUCGUUCCAAUCCGCUUUAAAUCCGAUUAUUCUUUGACGGUUCUCAUCGACUCAACGAUCUCUUUAAUCUCUACGUUUUGAAAUCGAUUAAGACCCGUCGACUGUUCGUACUUCAGAGGCGAACCAGAGUUAGAUUGCUUGUCAAGUUUCACGUGGAAUAGCAAGCUGUGAGUUUAUAUCUCUAUUUACCUCUUUAUUAAGCAAAUGUUAUAUUUUGUAUAUUUAUAUGUAUAAACAGCUUUCGAACUGUUUUUCGGCAUUGUGGAUUUGAUUUGGAACGUGCUACUCGAUGGGCAUCAUCGGGACUGCUUGUGCACCGGUAAUGAUUAUGGUAAUGAGGUAGGUUUGAGAUACGUCUCACCUUAGUGAGGACACCGGUGGAAGAUACGUCUCCUGGGCUCACUAUUUAUUAAGUGAUAGUCGGGGAUCGGUUAUUGAGAUACGUCUCACCGACACGACAAUAGAUUUAGAAUUGUGGUUUAGGGUUUCAUUGAUAAUCCAUAAUGAAAAUGUUUUAUUAAACGUUUUAAAGGUUUUUAACUUAAUAAAUGUAAAUGGUUAUAUAAACUCUACUCAG